AACGAACGCUGGCGGCAGGCCUAACGCAUGCAAGUCAAACGGGUGUUGCAAUACACUAGUGGCGCACGGGUGAGUAACACGUGGGAAUCUACCUUUCAGUAAGGAAUAACAGCGGGAAACUGCUGCUAAUGCCUUAUGGUCCCUUCGGGGUAAAGAUUUAUCGCUGAAAGAUGAGCCCGCGUAAGAUUAGCUAGUUGGUGGGGUAAAAGCCUACCAAGGCUACGAUCUUUAGCUGGUCUUAGAGGACGAUCAGCCACACUGGAACUGAGACACGGUCCAGACUCCUACGGGAGGCAGCAGUGGGGAAUAUUGGACAAUGGGGGAAACCCUGAUCCAGCCAUGCCGCGUGAGUGAUGAAGGCCUUCGGGUUGUAAAGCUCUUUAGGGUGGGACGAUAAUGACGGUACCACCAGAAUAAGCCCCGGCUAACUUCGUGCCAGCAGCCGCCGUAA
rnacentral:rRNA from 1 species